GAGUUUGAUCAUGGCUCAGAACGAACGCUGGCGGCAGGCUUAACACAUGCAAGUCGAACGCCCCGCAAGGGGAGUGGCAGACGGGUGAGUAACACGUGGGAACGUGCCCUAAGGUUCGGAAUAUUCCCGGGAAACUGGGAGCAAUACCGAAUGUGACCGUAAGGUGAAAGAUUUAUCGCCUUAGGAUCGGCCCGCGUCGGAUUAGCUAGUUGGUGGGGUAAAGGCCCACCAAGGCGACGAUCCGUAGCUGGUCUGAGAGGACGACCAGCCACACUGGGACUGAGACACGGCCCAGACUCCUACGGGAGGCAGCAGUGGGGAAUCUUGGACAAUGGGCGAAAGCCUGAUCCAGCCAUGCCGCGUGGAUGAUGAAGGCCCUAGGGUUGUAAAAUCCUUUCGUUGGGGACGAUAAUGACGGUACCCAAAGAAGAAGCUCCGGCUAACUUCGUGCCAGCCGCCGCGGUAAU
rnacentral:rRNA from 1 species